ensembl:lncRNA
GGGGUCUCUCUGGGGGGCCAUUCUGCGCGCUGGAGGCUAAGUUGCCUGGAUCACCGGCUUCCUCUUCCCGGAGGAAGCGGCGCUCACGCCGCCGUCGCUCUGCCCCGGCUGAGCAACCUUCAGUCGUGAGUAAAAGUGACUCCUUUUCUUACGCGCCUCCAGAACCCACAAACAUAAGGAACUAUAAACUUACCCCAGAAAGCUUUGGGAUUUCUUUUUUGGAUGAGGAGUUGGACUUGGAGGAUUCUUUUUGUUCUGCUCCUCCUGAGGAGGUAAAAGACAAUCAUUUUUCAAGGACUGUUAACGCUGUUAAAUCAAAAACUGUAAGCCAUGUUACCAAGUCAGGUGCACCUGUAUCAGUUUCCCGGGUGAGGGGGGCCAGGGCCCAGUUGGUCCCUGCGCCGGAUUCAAGGACGGGUGAAGCUCUGCUAGUCUCUGCAUCUGUACCAGCUCCUUGGGUGGGGACAGCAGCUGCCCAGCCGUUGCCAGUACCUAUUCCGGCUCCCAGGGUGAGGGUGGCCAUGAACCAGCAACCUCCUACGCCCAUACCUAUCCCUCAGGUGGGAGUGACUGGUGUCCGGUCUGCCCCGGCGCCCAUGCCAGUUCCCAGGGCGAGGCUAGCCAGGACACAGCCCAACUCUGCACCGGUACCUACUCCUCAAGUGGGAGCGGCUAGUGUCCGGCAGGUGCCUGCACCCGUUCCUGUCUCCGUUGGAGGCUUAGGCUCUGCAUCUGCUCCCGCUGGAGGCUCUGGAGAGCCGUGCCAGCCGUCUGUUCCCGCUGGGGGCUCUGGAGAGUCCAUCCAGCUGUCCACAGCCUGCUCGUCCACGUCCAACACCACACUGUCACCAGCCACUUUCCACGCCGUCGGCUGAGCAUCUUUGCCAUCAUUGGUGGCCUCCUGAACUGUGUUGCCAAAGCCGCUUCCCACAUGGUCGGCGUCUGGACUUGCUUCACUGGUGCCGCCGCCGCUUUCUUCAUGGCCGGCACCCUGGACUGUCUCGUUGCUGCUGCUGGCUCCGCGAUCGGCCUCCAGAACUGCUCCACGGUCAGCCUCCUGAACGUUUUAGGCCUGGGCUCCUGUGCUUUCAUCCUCCAGGCCGGCCCUCUGAACUGUGUGGGAACUGUUUCUGGAGUUCCAGUGCUUGUUGUGGAUAUUCUGUUUUGGACUGUUCCAUGAGCUCUAGUGCUUUUUGUUAACUUUUUGUUUUGGACCCCCACCAUCCGCCCUGGUUGGGUUGUUUUUGUUUUGCUCUUCUGGUUUGGGCUGUCUGGAGCCAGCCCUUGAGGUGGGUGUACUUUCAAUGCGACCCAGUGUUGUGAGUGUGUACUAUUAUUGAUCUUUGAUUUCAUCAUAAUUUUUCACUGCUAGCCUCUUGGUUUUCAGUAUUUCUAGCUCCCUAGUUCCUUAGUAUUUCAUGAUUUCUGGUCUUUAGGUUUUGUUUAUGUGCCUCCUCUGUGUUCCGUGUUAUGUCUACUCUGUGUUCUGUUACUUUGACAUAGGACACGGACUUUCAAUGUAUUCUCUUUUGCUUCCUCCCUGUCUCCUCACGUCUGAUUAGGUUCAGCAUCUGUGUAUCAUCCCCGGUGUCAUUAUUCUGUUCAUCUUCCCCAGUGUCGCUCCAGCCAUGUUUCCAGGUGUCAGGUUGUUUAGUUCCAGUUUCAUGUUUAGCUGUUCCCAGUUUAGGUUUUUGUUGUUUUGUAGUGUUCAUUCAGCCACGAAUAAAGGCUCGCUUUCAGUUAAACAUCUUCAUCUCUAUUGUCUGCAUUUGGGUCCAUUCCUAAUUCUCUCCGCAUGAUUCACCUUUGCAAACUGUGACAUAAUGAUUAAUAAUAACCUUACUAUAAUGAUUGCAGCAUAAAUGUCUGUAUCUGCCCUUUUCUUCCUUAAGUGUUGUGCCAAAAACUUGCUCCAGGAAUUUAAACUGUUGAAGUGACUUGUUGAUCCAUAAUCUGUCCAAAAUUUGUCAAACAAAAAUGUGUUGUGAUUGAAAUAAAGUCAUUCUGAAUCAUAAUAAAACAUCCCAAUGACGAGGUAGAAGCUGCAAUGAGUUUGUGGCAAAGUAACUUUGAUAUUUCCUUUAUUUCCUUGGGUAAAAAAUC